rnacentral:lncRNA from 1 species
UGGUGGUUACCGAUGUUGUAUCCUCGGGUGGUUGGCUUCCAUAAUAAACCCUUGUAGUGGAUAGUUUAUUUGGAUAGCACCUCCAGUUAUGUUCCUUCGUCUCUGUCUCUUUCUUAUUCUAUUCUUCUCCCUUAUCUUUAUUUACAUUAAUUGUGCAAUAUCUCUUCUUUAGCAUCUUAUACUAUACUUGCUUUCCUUUCCUUUAAUUUAUGAUUGAUUUAUCUUUUGAGCUCUGUCGGCCUAUGCCUAAUGAGUACCUCUUAUUUGUAUUCAUACUACAUUUGUACACCCUGCAUAUCAUAGUAUGAC